ACUCAUCGUCUAUUCGAUUUGUGCAAACCCUCCUCUUCCCCUCGCCGUAUACCAUCUACACCACCGGUGAAGAUGGUAUCACAUCUAUACAACCACAAAAGCCACCAAUCAAAUCCCUUUCCUCAUAACCACCACGCAUUGAGCAUUAUCCUAUUCACGUUUCCUCUGGUCAUUCCUACUUCACCAUCAUCGAAUCCAUCUCCCCCAACCCUCCUCUUCUCGCAGCCACUGAUACGUCACUACCACCAAUCUAAGCAAUCAGUGGAUCUGGAUUCGAUUUACAAGAUCCUUGACAAAAUAUUUAGACAAAUUUCAUUACUGAGGUGAAGAUCUAUUUUUUUAUUUUUGACAUGAUCAAAUCUUCUUAAGUUUUGUUUUUAGUAUAUUUUGUGUUUCUAUAUAUUUUGUGUUUCUGGUUUCCACAUUUAGUUUAUUUGGUUAUUUCAAGAAAAGAAUAAAAUUGUUGUUAAUUUAUCUUUUAGUAUUUUUCUGUAUUUGUUUGUA